rnacentral:rRNA from 1 species
AGUGAACGCUGGCGGUAGGCCUAACACGUGCAAGUCGAACGGCAGCACAGUAAGAGCUUGCUCUUACGGGUGGCGAGUGGCGGACGGGUGAGGAAUACAUCGGAAUCUACUUUUUUGUGGGGGAUAACGUAGGGAAACUUACGCUAAUACCGCAUACGACCUACGGGUGAAAGCAGGGGAUCUUCGGACCUUGCGCGAUUGAAUGAGCCGAUGUCGGAUUAGCUAGUUGGCGGGGUAAAGGCCCACCAAGGCGACGAUCCGUAGCUGGUCUGAGAGGAUGAUCAGCCACACUGGAACUGAGACACGGUCCAGACUCCUACGGGAGGCAGCAGUGGGGAAUAUUGGACAAUGGGCGCAAGCCUGAUCCAGCCAUACCGCGUGGGUGAAGAAGGCCUUCGGGUUGUAAAGCCCUUUUGUUGGGAAAGAAAAGCAGCAGGUUAAUACCCCGCUGUUCUGACGGUACCCAAAGAAUAAGCACCGGCUAACUUCGU